CUUGUCAAUCUUCACCUUUUCUUGAGGAUUGAUGCCUUGUCUAAACUUCUCUUUUAGUAUCCAAUAUCCAUCUUUUUCCUCAACUCUAGGCUCUAGUCUCUCAGCAGCAACCUCCGGAGACGGUGGCGCUGCCACCGUCUGCGGAGAUGGAGUUGCAUUGAGCUUGAGAGUUGUAGUCGUCUUGGAAAAUCUAGUUGGAUUUGGCAACGAAGGUGCAAGGAAUCUGAUGGAAAAAGAUGCCAUUUUGGAAGUUGGGAGUGGAGAAAGGAGAGAUGUUAGACCAUUUUGUAUGGGAG
rnacentral:lncRNA from 1 species